UCCCCAAGAGCUCUGGAGAGGAUCUUGGCGUAGAGAGCCUGUUGUGGCUACUGGGAGGGUGGGAGCCAAGGUUACACCGGCUCCUUGGCGCGUUUGCUCUGAGCUGGACGAAGCUGCCUGUGGACCUCCGAACCGUGGCCCAAGACGAGGCGCCCUUGCGCGGGCGGGAGGAGCCUGGAGGUGGGACCCUGACGGCGCGCCACGCCGGCAAAGGCAACCCGCGCGGAGCGCGCACGGCCACUGAGCGCCGGCGCCUCCAGCAUGGAGUGGGAGCUCAACUUUCUGCUCUACCUGGCGCUCUUCUUCUUUCUGCUCUUCUUACUUUUCCUCCUGCUCUUCGUGGUCAUCAAACAGCUGAAGAACUCGGUGGCCAAUACGGCCGGGGCGCUCCAGCCCGGGCGCCUCUCCCUGCACCGGGAGCCUUGGGGCUUCUCCCGCGAGCAAGCGGUGUGACAGGCGCCGCGCGGACACUGGCGGGAGGGCAUGGAACUGUGCGGGCACCGGGCUGGGGCUCGGCCUCUAUUCUCUGGCCACACGGCCGCCCGGGUUCUAGGGCCAGGCUCGGCUGCCUCGCUGGCAGGUCCGUUUGGGCAUGGGAGCUGUUAGCAAAUGGGCGAGUUUCUCUUCUCCUCCGGGAAGCUAGGGGCUCACGGCGCGCUGGGAUGUCAGGGAUGACGGAUGCCUGGGGUCUGGGCUGGUGGUGUGCUUUUAGGGAGGGACCCUAAGCUUUUCCGGGGUGGGGAGAAAUACAAAAAAGAAAGAAGGUUAGCUUUUGAAGCCAGAAUGGCUCUGAGCACCUGCAAGCUCUUCUUUCCAGUCCAACUGCAUUUUUAUCUUGUACCCCAGGGAUCCAAAACUAAAUUAUUCAGAUGAUUCAGUCCAGGCACUUUCAAACAAAAUCGAAUGUCAACCUAACCUUUGGGAUAAGAGACAGGAGAAAACAGGUCACACUCGGAGUAUUCCACAUACUGCUUUGAAUGUCUGUGCUGUGGUAGACCCUAUGUGGGAUUCAAGUGGCAGUGUGUGGGAGAGAGGGUUGAGUGGCCCAUUUGUUAUGGGGUAUCUCCCCUUCCUCCCGAUCCCUGCUCCUAUUCUAGACUCCGACCCUGGAGGUGCCUGCGGAUUGCUGUGGCGGGUUCUGGAGCGGAGCUGCUGCCCUGGGCUGGUGUGUGGAGGAUGGUGGAGUUACGGGCCGGUCAGGCGGGAGUAACCAGAGACAGACGACUUCUGCGAUGUAAUGCCACUGGUGUCCAAAGGUUUAAACCACCCUUGACUCUUCUAGACAGGAGACUAGAGAACUCAGGGUUCCAAGACGGUUCUUUCGGUUCCCAGCAAGAAGACGGAGGAAGACCAAGAGGAAAACAGGGCAUGCCAGUGUGAGGCUACCUCUUUUUAAAGAGCUUUCUCAGCAGUCCAACUUUUGCUCACAUCUCAUUGGCCAAAUGGUGUCAUUGGCCCCUGCUAUCUCUAAAGUUGUCUGAGAAAUGUGGUUUUUGUAGAUGGACAUGUAACUACCUUCAACAAAAAUCUGAGUUCUCUUCAUAAGGAAGAAGGUAACAGUGUAUCUUGGGUGAACAACUUGUAGUCUGUGCCCCAAAUACAAAAUACAGUGGUAAAGAAGCAUAAUGCUUGAGACGGUUCAAAACGACAGCUCCUUCACAACUGGCAGCACGCCAAGCAGACUGCUGUGACCCAAGUGUGACUAGACUGAAACAGGCCAGGUUUUCUCAUGAAACACUUACCAGGACUGACUGCUCUCUCAGCCGGUAUACCUGUCCCCAUCAGGCUUCUCUAGUCCCUGGGAACCCUUGGACUUUCUCAGAGGACGUGCUUGCUUCUUGGAGGCUUGAAACGAGAUGAGGAAUGUUUUACCUUGAUGCUUCCACAUCUGUGUUGUUUAUCUUUUUUCUCUUUUACCUAAAAAAUUUUUGGUGCAGUCUAGUUGUGCAUUUGAUCCCCAUAAAAGGAUCAUUCUUUUCAUGUACAGGGCAGGGUAAUCUAUGUAGAGAAAGGCUACUUGACUCCCUUCUGUGUCUCCACCACCUCAUCUAGGAAUAUCAUGGAAGAAUUGCUUCUCAGAGCUGCCUCCAUAAACAGCCUACAUCCUGGCUAAGCAAAGAGAGAAGAAACACUUCCCACAUCCAGGGCUGUCCAAAAGAACUUUCUGUGAUGACAGAAGUGUUCCGUAUCUGCAGUGUCUAGUACAGUAGCCACUAGCCACGUGUGGCUAGUGAACAACUGAAAUGUCGCUACUGUGACUGAGGAAGUAAAUUUUAAUGUUAUUUAAUUUUAAAUACUUUAAAUGUAAAUAGCCACAUGUGGCUAGCGACUAGUGUAGUAGACAAACCUUUCUCUUUCUUGUGUUUUACAACUUGCUGGGUGUGUGUGUGGGUGGGGGGUGUUGACUAAGUUGUAUGCUUGGCAUUCCAUGGUCUUUACUAUUCCACCAUCGAACUUGUCUCCCAGAGGAAAGGUAAAAAUGGUAUUUUGGAACUCAAUUCAGAUGUUAACUUGACAUUUACACAUUGAACAUUUGUAUUUGUAUGUGUUCCUGUGUGAAUAGAAUGGUUUCUGGGAAUAGGUCCUGCGGCUGGUAACUGAUGAUGGGGAAGUGGUGGUGCUGGUCGCUUUACUUUCCUAGUGAGCAUUGUAUGUUCCUUGCCAUAGUCAGUAGAGAUUCUGUUGCACAGUUCAUUCUGUUACUUUAUUUUUGUACUACUGUGGCUGCUAAAUGAUUAUUCCAUGUCUGUUUUUCAAAAUACUUUGUGGUUUAUAUUUUUUAAAAGGCUAUGAAAUAAAAAUAGUAGCUCA